rnacentral:rRNA from 1 species
CCUACGGGAGGCUGCAGUGAGGAAUAUUGGUCAAUGGUCGGAAGCCUGAACCAGCCAAGUCGCGUGAGGGAAUAAUGCCCUAUGGGUUGUAAACCUCUUUUGCCGGGGAGCAAGAGCCGGCCGUAUCCGUCUGUGAGAGUACCCCAAGAAAAAGCAUCGGCUAACUCCUUGCCCGCAGCGGCGGUAAGACGGAGGGUGCGAGCGUGAUCCGGGUGUAUUUGGUGUAAAGGGUGCGCAGGCGGGUAUUUAAGUCGGCGGUGAAAGGGUGGGGCGCAACCCCAGCCAGCCGUUGAAACUGGGGAUCUAGAGUGUGCGAGAGGCAGGCGGAAUGCGUGGUGUAGCGGUGAAAUGCAUAGAUAUCACGCAGAACCCCGAUUGCGAAGGCAGCCUACCGGUGCACAACUGACGCUGAGGCACGAAAGCGUGGGGAGCGAACAGGAUUAGAUACCCGAGUAGUC